rnacentral:rRNA from 1 species
UACGUAGGGGGCAAGCGUUGUCCGGAAUUAUUGGGCGUAAAGAGCGCGUAGGCGGUCCGAUAAGUCGGCUGUGAAAGUCAGGGGCUCAACCCUUGGAAGCCGGCCGAUACUGUCGGACUAGAGUCCGGAAGAGGCGAGUGGAAUUCCCGGUGUAGCGGUGAAAUGCGCAGAUAUCGGGAGGAACACCAAUGGCGAAGGCAGCUCGCUGGGACGGUACUGACGCUGAGAAGCGAAAGCAUGGGGAGCGAACAGG